AAUAUUGCGCCAAUGGGGGAACCCUGACGCAGCCACGCCGCGUGAGCGAGGAAGGCCUUCCGGUCGUAAAGCCCUGUUUAGAGGGAUGAUAGUGACAGUACCUCUUGAGGUAUCCCCGGGUAACUACGUGCCAGCAGCCGCGGUAAUACGUAGGGGGCAAGCGUUGUCCGGAUUUACUGGGCGUAAAGGGCGCGUAGGCGGUAGCAUAAGUCAGAUGUGAAAGUCCAGGGCUCAACCGUGGAAUUGCAUUUGAAACUGUGCUACUUGAGUGCAGGAGAGGAGAGCGGAAUUCCUAGUGUAGCGGUGAAAUGCGUAGAGAUUAGGAAGAACACCAGUGGCGAAGGCGGCUCUCUGGACUGUAACUGACGCUGAGGCGCGAAAGCGGGGGUAGCGAAC
rnacentral:rRNA from 1 species